GAUGAACGCUGGCGGCGCGCCUAAUACAUGCAAGUCGAGCGAACAGACGAGGAGCUUGCUCCUCUGACGUUAGCGGUGGACGGGUGAGUAACACGUGGAUAACCUACCUAUAAGACUGGGAUAACUUCGGGAAACCGGAGCUAAUACCGGAUAACAUGUUGAACCGCAUGGUUCAACAGUGAAAGACGGUCUUGCUGUCACUUAUAGAUGGAUCCGCGCCGCAUUAGCUAGUUGGUAAGGUAACAGCUUACCAAGGCAACGAUGCGUAGCCGACCUGAGAGGGUGAUCGGCCACACUGGAACUGAGACACGGUCCAGACUCCUACGGGAGGCAGCAGUAGGGAAUCUUCCGCAAUGGGCGAAAGCCUGACGGAGCAACGCCGCGUGAGUGAAGAAGGUCUUCGGAUCGUAAAACUCUGUUAUUAGGGAAGAACAAAUGUGUAAGUAACUAUGCACGUCUUGACGGUACCUAAUCAGAAAGCCACGGCUAACUACGUGCCAGCAGCCGCCGUAA
rnacentral:rRNA from 1 species